CAGCACCUCAGCAUAUCUGUCCUGAUCCCACAGUCAUGGUGUUCGGUCUUAGUUUGUGACCAGUUUAGUUUAACCAGGACCAUCAGUGUGACUAUUGGAUUGGGACUAUCCACUGCGGUGAGUGUG
rnacentral:precursor_RNA from 7 species